CGGGUGGUAGCUCAGAGGAAAAUUGCUUGCUUACAAAGCUGGUAGUUUCCGUGGCAGAGCGCUCGCUCAUGGAGCGAGAGGUCGGAGGUUCAAAUCCUUCCCACCCGA
rnacentral:tRNA from 1 species